CCUACGGGAGGCAGCAGUGAGGAAUAGUGGUCAAUGGGCGCGAGCCUGAACCAGCCAAGUAGCGUGAAGGAUGACUGCCCUACGGGUUGUAAACUUCUUUUAUAAAGGAAUAAAGUGAGGCACGUGGGCCUUUUUGGAUGUACUUUAUGAAUAAGGAUCGGCUAACUCCGUGCCAGCAGCCGCGGUAAUACGGAGGAUCCGAGCGUUAUCCGGAUUUAUUGGGUUGAAAGGGAGCGUAGAUGGGUUGUUAAGUCAGUUGUGAUAGUUUGCGGCUCAACCGUAAAAUUGCAAUUGAUACUGGCAGUCUUGUGUACAGUUGAGGUUGGCGGACUUCGUGGUGUAGCGGUUAACUGCUUCGAUAUCAC
rnacentral:rRNA from 1 species